CCCUUCGGGGACAAAGUGACAGGUGGUGCAUGGUUGUCGUCAGCUCGUGUCGUGAGAUGUUGGGUUAAGUCCCGCAACGAGCGCAACCCUUGAUUUUAGUUGCCAGCAUUUAGUUGGGCACUCUAAAGUGACUGCCGGUGCAAGCCGGAGGAAGGUGGGGAUGACGUCAAAUCAUCAUGCCCCUUAUGACCUGGGCUACACACGUGCUACAAUGGAUAGUACAAAGGGUCGCGAAGCCGCGAGGUGGAGCUAAUCCCAUAAAACUAUUCUCAGUUCGGAUUGUAGGCUGCAACUCGCCUACAUGAAGCCGGAAUCGCUAGUAAUCGUGGAUCAGCAUGCCACGGUGAAUACGUUCCCGGGCCUUGUACACACCGCCCGUCACACCACGAGAGUUUGUAACACCCGAAGUCGGUAGGGUAACCUUUAUGGAGCCAGCCGCCGAAGGUGGGACAGAUAAUUGGGGUGAAGUCGUAACAAGGUAGCCGUAUCGGAAGGUGCGGCUGGAUCACCUCCUUU
rnacentral:rRNA from 1 species